rnacentral:rRNA from 1 species
CGGACGGGUGAGUAAUGCCUAGGAAUCUGCCUGGUAGUGGGGGACAACGUUUCGAAAGGAACGCUAAUACCGCAUACGUCCUACGGGAGAAAGCAGGGGACCUUCGGGCCUUGCGCUAUCAGAUGAGCCUAGGUCGGAUUAGCUAGUUGGUGAGGUAAUGGCUCACCAAGGCGACGAUCCGUAACUGGUCUGAGAGGAUGAUCAGUCACACUGGAACUGAGACACGGUCCAGACUCCUACGGGAGGCAGCAGUGGGGAAUAUUGGACAAUGGGCGAAAGCCUGAUCCAGCCAUGCCGCGUGUGUGAAGAAGGUCUUCGGAUUGUAAAGCACUUUAAGUUGGGAGGAAGGGUUGUAGAUUAAUACUCUGCAAUUUUGACGUUACCGACAGAAUAAGCACCGGCUAACUCUGUGCCAGCAGCCGCGGUAAUACAGAGGGUGCAAGCGUUAAUCGGAAUUACUGGGCGUAAAGCGCGCGUAGGUGGUUCGUUAAGUUGGAUGUGAAAGCCCCGGGCUCAACCUGGGAACUGCAUUCAAAACUGACGAGCUAGAGUAUGGUAGAGGGUGGUGGAAUUUCCUGUGUAGCGGUGAAAUGCGUAGAUAUAGGAAGGAACACCAGUGGCGAAGGCGACCACCUGGACUGAUACUGACACUGAGGUGCGAAAGCGUGGGGAGCAAACAGGAUUAGAUACCCUGGUAGUCCACGCCGUANACGAUGUCAACUAGCCGUUGGGAGCCUUGAGCUCUUAGUGGCGCAGCUAACGCAUUAAGUUGACCGCCUGGGGGAGUACGGGCC